UGGUCCAUAAAUGGAACUAGAGUAAGUUGUAAGUAACAUAUAAAAGUCGAGCAAAACGUCGUUGAUUGUUUUUAGCGUUAUAAUGUCAUAAUCAACAAAAACAAAGCUAAUUAAUUUGCGAUUUUGAAUAUAAUUUGUUUUUUUUUUCAGUUAAUAUCCUAGGUUUUUUUUUGAACUUAGUUAAUACCCUAGUUGAACAAUAUAAUUUUGAGUUAAUAUAGUAUUUUAAAUAUAAUUUGUCUUUUGAAACGAGUUGUUCAUUUCGUGAGUCCACUGAUCUUUCUUUAUGCCAUAUUUACAGUACUCACCUAAUCCCCCUACUAAUACAGCUAGGAGAACCGCAACGAACAAAUUACUAACAGGCAAGAGAGUAUUCCACGAUUACAAUCGUUAUUUAAUAUUUCUAUAAUUCCUUAAGGUCUUAGUACAUAAGAUUAAUUAAGGGAUUUGGUAUGCGAUAUCGAUUUCUUUUUUUUUUUUGAACACAACACAUCAUAUAAAUUAAAAGUCUGCAGCCCAACUAAGAAUAGUUGGUGGUAGCCAAGUACAGAGCUGAUUUAGCAAGUGAAUCAGCCAAGGAGUUUGAGUUUCUUGGUAUAUAAGAAAAGACAAUACAAUCAAAGGAGAGGGAUAGGUGCUCGAUGUCCCGUGAGAUUCCGUAGAGAUCUUUCGGGUGAUUCUUCGAGUUGAUGAUAGCAACAAGUGCUUGACAAUCUGUUUUGAUACAGAUUCUUGUGAAUCCAGCUUCGAGGGCGUUGAGAAGAGCCGAUCUAAUAGCUAACGCUUCAUCGAUUUCAUAUGCGCCAAUAUAUCAUAUUUUAAUGUAUAGAACUAUGAAUAUUCCAACUUUACCACGUACAUUCUUAUUUGGAAUUUUUGUUUUGUCCUUAACUAUUGUUGUUUAUAUCUUGAGCCUAUCUUUCUUGGUAACAUGCGAUUUAGAAACAUUGUAUUAUACGGAGAAGUGUAGAGCAAAUUAGAACUUCACACAAGUACUGCUCUACAGAACUAAAUUAUAAGUAAACCGACGAGGGAAUUAAUAUAAUAAAAACUUUAAUUUAGACCAAAAAAAUAAUAAAAACUUUAACUGCUAAAGG
rnacentral:lncRNA from 1 species